UGAGGGAAUAUUGGGGGCAAUGGAGGCAACUCUGACCCAGCCAUGCCGCGUGAGUGAAGAAGGUUUUCGGAUUGUAAAGCUCUUUCGGACAGGAAGAUAAUGACGGUACUGUCUAAAGAAGCCCCGGCUAACUUCGUGCCAGCAGCCGCGGUAAUACGAAGGGGGCGAGCGUUGUUCGGAAUUACUGGGCGUAAAGGGUGCGUAGGCGGUUUGGUAAGUUGGAUGUGAAAUACCCGGGCUUAACUUGGGGGCUGCAUCCAAUACUGUCGGACUUGAGUGCAGGAGAGGAAAGCGGAAUUCCUAGUGUAGCGGUGAAAUGCGUAGAUAUUAGGAGGAACACCGGUGGCGAAGGCGGCUUUCUGGACUGUAACUGACGCUGAGGCACGAAAGCGUGGGGAGCAAACAGGAUUAGAUACCCUGGUAGU
rnacentral:rRNA from 1 species